AUUGAACGCUGGCGGCAGGCCUAACACAUGCAAGUCGAACGGUAACAGGAAGCAGCUUGCUGCUUUGCUGACGAGUGGCGGACGGGUGAGUAAUGUCUGGGAAACUGCCCGAUGGAGGGGGAUAACUACUGGAAACGGUAGCUACUACCGCAUAACGUCGCAAGACCAAAGAGGGGGACCUUAGGGCCUCUUGCCAUCGGAUGUGCCCAGAUGGGAUUAGCUAGUAGGUGGGGUAACGGCUCACCUAGGCGACGAUCCCUAGCUGGUCUGAGAGGAUGACCAGCCACACUGGAACUGAGACACGGUCCAGACUCCUACGGGAGGCAGCAGUGGGGAAUAUUGCACAAUGGGCGCAAGCCUGAUGCAGCCAUGCCGCGUGUAUGAAGAAGGCCUUCGGGUUGUAAAGUACUUUCAGCGGGGAGGAAGGGAGUAAAGUUAAUACCUUUGCUCAUUGACGUUACCCGCAGAAGAAGCACCGGCUAACUCCGUG
rnacentral:rRNA from 1 species